AGAGUUUGAUCCUGGCUCAGAAUCAACGCUGGCGGCGGCCUAACACAUGCAAGUCGAACGAGAAAGUGGAGCAAUCCAUGAGUACAGUGGCGUACGGGUGAGUAACACGUGGAUCAUCUGCCUUUUAGUGGGGAAUACCGAUGGGAAACCGUCGACAAUACCGCAUAAUCUCGAGAGAGGAAAGCCGAAAGGCGCUGAAAGAGGAGUCCGCGGUCGAUUAGCUUGUUGGUGAGGUAAUGGCUCACCAAGGCUGUGAUCGAUAGCCGGCCUGAGAGGGCACACGGCCACACUGGCACUGAAACACGGGCCAGACUCCUACGGGAGGCAGCAGUGGGGAAUCUUGCACAAUGGGGGAAACCCUGAUGCAGCGACGCCGCGUGAGCGAUGAAGCCCUUCGGGGUGUAAAGCUCUUUCGGCAGGGAAGAUUAUGACGGUACCUGCAGAAGCAGCUGCGGCUAACUACGUGCCAGCAGCCGCGGUAAUACGUAGGCAGCAAGCGUUGUUCGGAGUUACUGGGCGUAAAGGGUGUGUAGGCGGCUCUAUAAGUAUGGUGUGAAAUCUCCCGGCUUAACUGGGAGGGUGCGCUAUAGACUGUGGGGCUAGAGUGUGGGAGAGGAAAGUGGAAUUCCUGGUGUAGCGGUGAAAUGCGUAGAUAUCAGGAGGAACGCCGGUGGUGUAAACGGCUUUCUGGACCAUAACUGACGCUGAGACACGAAAGCGUGGGUAGCAAACAGGAUUAGAUACCCUAGUAGUCC
rnacentral:rRNA from 1 species